AUUGAACGCUGGCGGCAUGCCUUACACAUGCAAGUCGAACGGCAGCGCGGACUUCGGUCUGGCGGCGAGUGCGAACGGGUGAGUAAUACAUCGAAACGUACCCUGUUGUGGGGGAUAACUAGUCGAAAGAUUAGCUAAUACCGCAUAUGACCUGAGGGUGAAAGUGGGGGACCGCAAGGCCUCACGCAGCAGGAGCGGCCGAUGUCGGAGUAGCUAGUUGGCGGGGUAAAGGCCCACCACGGCGACGAGCAGUAGCGGGUCUGAGAGGACGAGCAGCCCCACGGGGACUGAGCCACGGCCCAGACUCCUACGGGAGGCAGCAGUGGGGAAUUUUGGACAAUGGGGGCAACCCGGAUCCAGCAAUGCCGCGUGUGUGAAGAAGGCCUUCGGGUUGUAAAGCACUUUUGUCCGGAAAGAAAUCGCGCUGGUUAAUACCUGGCGUGGAUGACGGUACCGGAAGAAUAAGCACCGGCUAACUACGUGCCAGCAGCCGCCGUAA
rnacentral:rRNA from 1 species